CUGGGUCCUGCUCAGAGGGACUUAUUCAAGGAAGUGAUGCUGGACAAUUAUAGGAACCUGUUCUCCCUGGGGCUUCAAGUGUCCAAACCAGAUGUGAUCUUCCAGUUGGAAAGAGGAGAAUCACCAUGGAUGUUGGAGAGAAAAGACUCCAGUGACACCUCUCCAGAGUUCCUUAGUCAGAUGGCCAGGUAUGAAACAGCAGAGUCAACUGUAAAUCCAUCUGUUUCACCAGAAGAGUCAUCUAAGGAAAGAGUUCAGACUGAUGGUUCCUGGGAAUGCAAAAUGGGAGAAUCUUGUGAACAUGAUGUCAGAGUAGACCAAAAGAAUUGCAAUCAGGACGGACAAGCCAGUCAAGAGACAACUAUCCACAGAGAAAUUUCUUCUAACAAUAUCUUUGAAAGUUGUUUCAGUCUAGGGUCAAUCCUUGUUCCACAAGAGGGAGUUCACACCAGAAAAAAUCUUCAGAAGCAUAGUACAUACAAAAAGAACUUAAAACAGUUUUCAGACCUAGGUGAAUGUGAUAGAGUCUUUUGCAAGAAUAAUCUUUGCAAUUGUAAUAUAUGCAGCAAGUCAUUCAGUUAUCCUUCAGACAUUAUUCACUCUAAUAAAGAGCAUAGUAAAGAAAAAGUGUA